AAACUAACAAGGAUUCCCCUAGUAACUGCGAGUGAAGCGGGAAAAGCUCAAAUUUAAAAUCUGGCGGUUUCACCGUCCGAGUUGUAAUCUGGAGAAGCAUUUUCCGCGUUGGACCGUGUACAAGUCUCUUGGAAUAGAGCGUCAUAGAGGGUGAGAAUCCCGUCCAUGACACGGACUACCAGUGCUUUGUGAUAUGCUCUCAAAGAGUCGAGUUGUUUGGGAAUGCAGCUCAAAAUGGGUGGUAAAUUCCAUCUAAAGCUAAAUAUUGGCGAGAGACCGAUAGCGAACAAGUACCGUGAGGGAAAGAUGAAAAGCACUUUGGAAAGAGAGUUAAACAGUACGUGAAAUUGUUGAAAGGGAAACGCUUGAAGUCAGUCGCGUUGUCCGGGACUCAGCCUUGCUAUUUGCUUGGUGUACUUCCUGGUUGACGGGUCAACAUCAAUUUUGGCUGGUGGAUAAAGGCCGAGAGAAGGUGGCAUCUUCGGAUGUGUUAUAGCUCUUGGUUGUAUACGCUGGCUGGGAUUGAGGUCUGCAGCACGCCUUUUUGGCCGGGGUUCGCCCACGUAACGUGCUUAGGAUGUUGGCAUAAUGGCUUUAAGCGACUCGUCU
rnacentral:rRNA from 1 species